AAUGAUUUUUUUACUCAGUGUAAUGUACUUUGUAUUCCAUCGACGAAACAUCAAUACCCUCAACUGUCUUUGUUAAUUAUUAGAUUAAUAUAAUUUUGCGUUCCAUUGAAAAAAAAUCAAAACUCUUUUUUUUCAUAUAGAUGUUUUUAAAUAAUAUAUAUCUUUGUUAAUUUUAUAAUUAUUUAAAUAAAAUAUGGCGUACAGGAAGUAGGGUGGUAUAACUAAAUAGACUUAAAACGAAAAUCUAUUUGCUUAAACAUGAAAUAAUUAGCAACACGUAUUAUAAAUAAAAGAAUUAUAAUUUAAUAUCUCAAUAACUUUACGUUUCAAACUUCCAAUUAUUGUUUACAACCAAUAUUAAUAAAAGCGAACAUUCAAUUGACUUUGUUGGUUAUAAGGUUAGUAUACUUUUGCGUUCCGUCGAAGAAACAUCGAUACUCCUCUGCUCCGUACGGGUGAUCAUAAAUGAUCUAUAUUUUCAAUAAUUUCGUCAUUAUUUAAACAAUAUAUAAUGUAAAAAUAAUACAAUACAUUAAUAUUUAGAUAAUAGUGCAGUAGAGACAGUGCCGGUCGCCAAAAAAAUUCAUCUUCAACUCAUUAUACUUCAUUUUGGGGUAGGAUGCUCAUCAUGUGAAGAUUUCACCCUUUGCGGAUGGGUGGCGGCAAAGAGCCGCCCAAGCCUUUGUACCGUUGCCGACAUGAUCGGCAAGUAGACGCCCAAGCCCUUCGUCGUUUCGGAUUUGUAUUGUAAAACAAUUUAUAUUUAUUUAUCAUUCGAAAGAAAAAAUUCGAAAAAUUUAAUUAAUUAAUACGUAUCACGUCUUCUUCUUUUUGAAAAAAUAUUAAAGGUUUUUAUAUUUUUUCAAUUAAAUAUAUUAAUAUAUUUUUACACAAUUUUGCUCGUCUAUUGAGUUCGUCCGCAAAGGGUUAAACGACAGAAACUCAUUCAACGAAGAGUAAAAAUAUCAUUGCCGUCGUGCAUGAUGCAAUCAUAAAAUCGAGUGUUCAUAUCGCUAAAAUAACUAAAAAGUCGUGAAAUAGAAGCAGUGUUUGUUUGUUAGCGAUUCGGGAUUUACAAGAAAAAUAAAUAUCCAUCGACUGCGUACAAUGUAGUCAUUAAAGUCAGUAUUUGUCCGUAAAGUCUUUUCUCUUUUCAACAGUCGCACAGGCUGUAUUUAUAAAAGCCAGUAAAAUUUCGGAAAGUAAAUUCAGUGAUCGUUCGUUAAUAAAUAAUUAGAAUCAGUGCAUCAUUGAAGAGGACUUCGACCAACUUCGAUGUCAACCUACCUCAUAUUCAACCAUCUACGAAUCAUCCACCCUCAAUUUCGACCUAAAUCGCGGACGAGUGUUUUGGAGCCAUCGCAGAACUUCUUAAGUAAAGCGAAGAAU